rnacentral:rRNA from 1 species
UACGAAGGGGGCUAGCGUUGCUCGGAAUCACUGGGCGUAAAGCGCACGUAGGCGGAUUGUUAAGUCAGGGGUGAAAUCCUGGAGCUCAACUCCAGAACUGCCUUUGAUACUGGCGAUCUCGAGUCCGGGAGAGGUGAGUGGAACUGCGAGUGUAGAGGUGAAAUUCGUAGAUAUUCGCAAGAACACCAGUGGCGAAGGCGGCUCACUGGCCCGGUACUGACGCUGAGGUGCGAAAGCGUGGGGAGCAAACAGA